AGGCCUGGCUGCGGCCCCCGCCCGCCUGCGCGGGAUCGACUCCGCAUGCGCACUGGAGCCCCGGAAUCCAGCCGGGCCUCUCCCUUCGGAGAGCGCCCCUGAGUUGGGCCAAGCCCAUUCAUUCAGGGCCUCCCAAGCCACGUAGGCGCCAUCCCUGGCCAGAGGGGUUCUGAGGAGGUGGGCAAGUGCAGACACUCUCUCCCGGUCUCAAAUUCGAAAUAAGAACUAGAAGUGAACUUCACGCGAGGCCUCGCAACUGUCGCGAGAAUCAGAACAGGAACUCUAGGAACCGAGAACAGUAACAGCCCCCGGAUUUUUAACAGAAAAAAGAAAGGGCGGAGCCAGCUCUGGUGGAUAGUUGUGAGUAAUCCCUGGUCCUUGGAGUAAGUGUCGAUCUGGGGCAGAAGGGGAACUGUCAGAGAGCUGCCGGAGACCCCGAAAAAGGCCAGAGACGGGGACUUGUGGGGCUGACGAAUGGAGUCACCCAAGGAGAGGUCUCUGGCUCUAACAAAACACCUUAGGGACGGAGCUCCUUGCCCGGGAUACAGAGCAGAAACAAGUCCGGGAUCUCUUAGUGAAUUGCUGCUGGCUUCUAAGGCCUGGAGCCUAUAUUCAACAACAAACUUCACGGACCUAGAAACUCUCCACUUAUCCUACUAUUGUAGCCCGUUGCUUACUUUCAGUCUUUCCUAUGCUCUAAGCCUCUGGUAGUAGGAAUCGUGCCUAAUUCACUACUGUAUCUUGUGAACCUAGCCCCGCGCCUGGUGGCACGGCAAAUUCUCGGUAAAUAUUUGUGGAUUAAAUGUGAAAGACUGCCUGAGUGUUUAACCUGAAUUUUCUGAGUCGCUGCUGAUGGAGAACAGUAGGUAGACGGGGAACCAGCGCCCUCUGGUGGGCUUGUGGUUCGUGACGAGAACAUCCUGGAACUGUGCAUCCAGAGACAAGGUCUUACAAUGUUAUCCAGGCUGGUCUGGAACUCCUGACCUCAAGCAGUCCUCCCACCUCAGCCUCCCAAAUUGCUGGGAUUAUAGAUGUGAACCACUGUGCCUGGCCAAUAACCACCUUUAACUCUGUACUUUAAUUUUACCUGGUUUUGACAUUUAUAGAAAUUGGGACAUGCCUAGGAUUGGAAUUACUGCUUCAUGUGAUAUGUAUAUUCAACAUUAGUAGAUUUUCUUUUCCUUCUUUCCUUUCCUUCCUUCUUUCCUUCCUUCUUUCCUUCUUUCUUUUCUUUCUUUCCUUUUCUUUUUUCUUUCUUUCUUCUUUCUUUCUUUCCUUCUUUUCUUUCUUUUCUUUCUCACAAGGUCUCGCUCUGUCUGGGCUAGUCCCAAACUCCUGGGCUUAAGCAAUCCUCCCACCUCAGCCUCCCAAAAUGCUGGGAUUAUCAACAUUAGUAGAUAUUACCAUACACUUUUUCCAGUGUGAUGUGUGAAUUUAUAUACUCUUCAGCAGUUUAUGAGAGUUUUCAUUAUGCCGCAUCCUUGCCAAGAGUUGGUAUUGUUGUUGUUCUUUUAAAUUUUAGCCAUUAGGUAAAAAUUUUAGAGCCUAAAAUUUUUAAAUGGCUAGUUCUGCAAGGAUUUCCUCUCUUGGAUAUUUUUUUAAAAACCUUUUAUUUUGAAUUUUAGACUUGGAUAGAAGUUGCAAAAAUAGCAAAGAAAGUUCCCAUGUACCUGUCACCUAGCCUACCCUGGUGAUAACAUAAUAUCUUAUAUAACCAUGAUAUAAUUAUCAAAACCAGGAAAUUGAAAUUUAUACAGUACUAUUAGCUAAACAAUGGACCUUAUUUAGAUAUCACUGGUUUGAUAUUACGUGUGUAUGUAUAAUUGAAAUUUUAUUGCAUGUGUAGAGUUGUGUGACCAUGAGGUGAGUAAAUGGGUCUUCAGGGGUAUGACAGGGUAAAACUGAUGCCAAGGGAAAAGCUAGUAGACUCUAUAGUACUAAACACAGCGUCAUUUAAUAUAUGAGUAGCUUUUAAAAUUAUUAUAUCAAAAGUCAGUGAUGGGAAAGGCAGCUAGUUACUGUAGCUAAACACACACAGCUGGGUACGGUGACACAUGCCUAUAGUCCCAGCUACUCCGGAGGCUGAGGCAGGAGGAUCACUUGAGCCCAGGAGUUCAAGUCCAGCCUGAGUGAAAUAGCAAGACCCCAUCUCUAUAAAAACAACAAAAACCCACUGUCACACAUUUGCACACUGUGCAUCUACCUGUUGGGGGAGCUGUGCACAUGGGUAGAGUCCCAGGGUCACUGGUUGAAGUUCACUUUGCAUUAUGACACACUCAGAAGGAAAGAUAAGUUUCUGCCCUUACAUCCAAUUUUACUUGAAGACAGUUUUCUGUAGGUGAGGCCAAUGAGAUAACUUUCUGCUGACACCCCUACAGCAUCCUCGUUCCUUCUGCCAGACUUCCAGAUCUCUAUUUCUGGCCCAAACCUCUCUCCUGAACAUCAUUCCAUGGAUUCAUCUACAUCCACUUCUAGUAUUUUCUUCCACAGCCAGGAAAGAAGUCCAUAAACAGCUCCCGGCUGCAUCAUACUUAGGACACCCAGAAAAAUGUAUCAGUAUAUCACAUCUCAGGGAAACCUUUUAUUGACUCUGUUUAGGUGAUGUGCUCAACAAUAAUUCACCACAUGGCCCAGGAGCCGCCACCCUGGACCACAAACCCCAUAGCAGAUGCAGUCAGUGCCUCACUCAUAUACCCUUGGCUCACACCAAAAGUUACCUGCAGAUAGUUCCUUUAUGACCCGGUGGGUCUGUCUGUCUGAGGGAGUUCUUUAGCCCCUAGAGUGAGCUCGGCUGACACGCAGGGCAGGCUGGAAAUGCCGUGGAGGUAACAACUCAGGAGCAAGCCACAUCUGGUGAGGAAAAACACUGGAGGACAGAUAAUCCUGUUCCUUACCCUUCAGUGGGAUAAUUUUGAGGUGUGUUCUCCACAGUUUUUCAGAAGGCUUAGAGAGACUGAGUCACAGUUGUCCUCAGUGGUAACCUGCUCAUUAAUGCAUCCUUUAUUUGGUUUUCCUCCUCUCUCUGACUUCCCUUCCCCCUCACUGUGUUUUCUGGGAUAAACUCCUAAAUAAACUACUUGUACCAAAA